UUUUUGACAAUGGUAUUUUCUAGUUUUGUGGUUGAAUGUGCUAAAUUUUGCAUAUUGUCACACAUAAAUUUAAUUAGGGCUAGCUUAGAUUCGAGGUAUGAUUGAUGGGUUUUGGAAACGCAUCUGACAAUCACACCCAAAAUUUCCCUCACACCACAAAGGCCCGGAAUGCGAAAACCAGUUUUCCGAAAACCCACAACAACAACUUGAGAAAAAUCUACACUUUGCCCUACUUCCUACACCUAGCGACCAUGAAACUCAGAGGAAAAGAGAGGGGGGAAGAUGGCGAAGAGGUACCUCUUAUUGAAGGAGAAACGAUGAGCAGAAAU
rnacentral:lncRNA from 1 species